rnacentral:misc_RNA from 1 species
GAUGAAGAACGUAGCGAAAUGAGAUAAGUAAUGUGAAUUGCAGAAUUCAGUGAAUCAUCGAAUCUUUGAACGCACAUUGCGCCCGCCAGUAUUCUGGCGGGCAUGCCUGUUCGAGCGUCAUUUCAACCAUCAAGCCCCAGGCUUGUGUUGGGGACCUGCGGCUGCCGCAGGCCCUGAAAACCAGUGGCGGGCUCGCUGUCACACCGGGCGUAGUAGAUUUUAUCUCGCUCAGGGCGUGCUGCGGGUUCUGGCCGUUAAAAAGCCUUUUUUACCCAAGGUUGACCUCGGAUCAGGUAGGAAGACCCGCUGAACUUAAGCAUAUCAAUAAGCGGAGGA